CCAGCCAGGGAGAUCUGGGAGAGAGAUUGCAGUGGACUGAUGCUUCUUCAUGAGACGGCUGGGAUGUGGGGGAAGGCCCGAAGAACGAAGUGUUCAGAACCGGAAUAGAGAGAAGUAAAGGACUAGUUAAUUUGAGGGGGAAAAAAAGGAAAAGAAGAAAGCAAGAGAAAGCUCAUUUGAAAAGGCUGGCGAACAAGAUGGAGCCCGUACCCAACACUUUAUGGAUGACUAGGAACCUGAGACUUGAUAGCCCAGGAACCUAGGGUGAAAAGGAAGUUAAUGAUACAAUGAAUCUAACAAUAUUAUGCUAUACUCAUCAGUAUCUUGUUCAACCAAGCAGACCCGAGCAGAUUCAGAGACCCACAGCCAGA
rnacentral:lncRNA from 1 species